GAAAACCAAGAAGUUCAUCUAUUUCUGGUAAGUCGUCCUAAAUUUUGUUCAUGCACUAUGCUUGUCUUUGUUCUGCAUGCGUAUAGUCCUUGGUUUUUUGUUUUUGGAGAGUAGAUUCAAUACAAUAGAAGGGCUGAAAGAAUUAAGAAAUUCGUUGAAAAAAAGCCGACUACUUCAGAAACAGGAUGAUCACUAGCCCUCUUCUCUUGACCUCCUUCACUGGAUCGGAUUCCAUACGGAUUUAGGGGUUGUUCAUGCACUGUGCUUGUCUUUGUUCUGUAUGCGUAGUCCUUGGUGUUUUGUUUUUGGGUCUCUUCUUUCUGUGUGUGUGUUUAUUUUGAUGGCUUCUCUCAUUUUCUUAGCAGCCACUUGAUGGCUCAAGAGGCCCCAGUUCACCUACUAGAAAUUCCAGAGGACAUAUUUCAAUAUAUAUGCCGGAAACUAUCAUUGGGUACACUCCUGCGAUGCAGGAGAUUGUCAAGAGAAUUUCUUUUUUAAACUCUCUAAAACCGACCUCGGUUUAGACAACCUGCUGCUAGUACAUGCACCAGGUAACAGGAAUUAUGAAGGGAUAUACCCCCAUGGGGAGCAUCAUGUUGCACUUGGAGGGAUUCCUAUCUCAGUUUGUUCAAAUUCAGUUGUGCACGAGCCCCUUGCCUCUUCUUGUACACUAUUGCAGCCAUCUUCCUAGUUAUAGAGCAUUAGCUCUCUCGACUACCACAAGUUUGUGUGUUGCUUAGUUAGAGAUGGAGCCAAGAUUUAUCAAUGUCCACUACUGUGUCUGUUGUGACUGAUUU
rnacentral:lncRNA from 1 species